UACUUAGCAGAGACGCACGUUGAUGGGCUUCAGAGACAAGUGAAGCUCAUCCUCCAGUUGCCUCCCACACUCACCAACUCGCCGAGGUUUAUAUAUAUCUUAGCAUCCUGUCUGGUACUCUCAUCCAUGGAAUAAAGACACGAGUAGUUAGAGCUUCAAACUCAAGGAAAAGCCAUGGGUGUCUUGACUCUGGUUCAUAUCCUUGUCAGCUUUGCUGCCUGUGCCGAGGCCAUAAGGAGAGCCGACUUCCCCCCUGGUUUUACCUUUGGGACUGCUUCCUCAGCUUACCAGUACGAGGGUGCUGUCAAUGAGGGUCAGCGUGGACCUACGAUAUGGGAUACUCUCGCAAGUCGACCCGGGAGGGUGAUAGAUUUCAGCAAUGCAGACGUUGCCGUUGAUCACUACCAUCGUUACAAGGAAGAUGUUGACUUAAUGAAGGAUAUUGGUGUGGAUGCAUACCGGUUCUCUAUCUCAUGGGCACGCAUCUUCCCAAAUGGAACAGGCAAGCCUAAUGAAGAAGGGUUGAGUUACUAUAACAGCCUCAUAGAUGUUCUAUUAGAAAAAGGUAUACAACCAUAUGUAACACUAUUCCAUUGGGACCUUCCACAAGCACUGGAGGAUAAAUAUGGUGGCUGGUUAAACUCACAAAUCGUGGAGGAUUUUGUUCACUAUGCCUCUACUUGCUUCAAGGAGUUCGGAGAUAGAGUGAAGCACUGGAUCACCGUUAAUGAGCCCCAUAACUUUGCAAUUGACGGCUAUGAUUUUGGCAUCCAAGCACCUGGGAGGUGUUCCAUUAUAUCUCAUUUGUUCUGCAAGGAGGGUACAUCAUCAACUGAACCCUAUAUUGUGGCUCACAACAUACUCUUAGCUCAUGCUGGUGUUUUUCAUGCUUACAAACAACAUUUCAAGAAAGAACAAGGAGGCCUCAUAGGAAUUGCACUGGACUCCAAGUGGUAUGAACCAUUGUCGGAUGUCGAUGAAGACAGAGAAGCAGCAGCACGAGCUAUGGACUUUGAGCUUGGAUGGUUCUUGGAUCCGUUAAUGUUUGGCCGCUACCCAGCUUCUAUGCAGAAACUUGUAGGCGACAGACUGCCCCAGUUUUCAAACCAGGAAUCACAGUUAGUAUCUGGGUCACUAGAUUUUGUAGGCAUAAACCACUACACAACAUUAUAUGCUAGGAACGACAGGAUGCGGGUAAGGAAACUUGUGAUGAAUGAUGCUUCAACCGAUGCUGCUGUCAUCGCAACUGCUUACAGGCAUGGAAAGAAAAUAGGAGAAACGGCAGCGUCGAAUUGGCUGCACAUAGUUCCCUGGGGCAUGUUCAGCCUGAUGAAACAUGUUAAGGAGAAGUAUGGGAAUCCACCCGUGUUCAUUACAGAGAAUGGCAUGGACGACGCAAACAGCCGGUUCUCAAGGUUGGAAAAUGUCCUGCAGGACGAUAAGAGGAUACAGUACCACAACGACUACAUGUCCAACCUCCUGGAUGCUAUAAGGAAGGAAGGGUGCAAUAUCCUCGGCUACUUCGUGUGGUCGCUGCUGGACAACUGGGAGUGGAACUCGGGGUACACGGUGCGGUUCGGCCUCUACUACAUCGACUACAACAACAACCUGACGAGGAUACCCAAGGCGUCCGUCGAGUGGUUCACCCAGGUUCUAGCCCGGAACCAGAAGACAGCUGCCGUCAUGUAGAUAACAAACAGUAGAGUGAUUCUUCAGUCACCAUUUCAACUCUGCAUAUUGCACAUGUACUGCACAUACCUUAGGAGCAAAAUGUCACCUACACGACCAUCUACCGCGCCGUCGAACGUGUCCAACGAUGUUACAGAGAUCAGCAAGAAGUGAGAUGUGCUCCGUCCGAAGGAAGAGCAUACUGUGAUUGGAGCUGCAGAGCAGGACGAUUCGCUGUGCCUGUGCAGACGAAGACAAAUCCUGAAAAGUUUAAGACGCCGUCCGUUGGGGGCCAUGCCGCAUGGCCCCGGCAACUUCAGGUCUUGAGUUCAGCUUCAGCAAUGGUCCCUCUCCCCUGAAAUUUCGAGCUAUUCCCCUCUCCUCUUCCCCAUGUAAUUUCCAGGUCCAAGCUUUGUGCCUGCGAGUAAAACGCCGAGCUGCAGCUGCCUCGGGAUGAUUGAUCUGGAGACGCAGUUUCACCUGAGCUUCACCUGCCCGGCCCGCCUGCCCGACCUCUUCUCUUGGAUGCUACCAAAACGCCUUUCGGGCGCCAUGUGCCACGCCGCAGCUCACGCAUUUUCCUCCGGAUUCCCUCGGAAACCCAACUGUUCUCCCCAGCAGAAUGCCCGAGUUUCCCCAACGGGUCCUCGAUGCAUGCCUGAAUUUCCCCCAAAGCUUCCAGCAGAAUUUCCCGCACUUCCCCGACGUGGAGGCCUUGACGUGGGUGCUUUUUGCUCUGGUUUUGUUUGUUGGUGAAUCAGUUGCCAACAUGGCAACGUGCUUCCAACACAUCGUGCUCAUCAUUGGUGGGAGGAAGGACGCGAAAGCGACGGCCUAUGCAGAAAUGAUAAUUGGGGAAGAAGAAGACACGAUGAGGAGGAAGAAAUCACACAUGGAGAAUGCGUCCGGGGACGGGAUGUGAAAGGAGGUGGGCAGCGACAACGAGGGCAGGUAGCACGAGUGAACUUGUCGCCGGGCGCUCAUAUGAUAUGUGUCAGCGUGUGGGGCAAAGAGGAGCGGAAACCACAGAAAAGUGUGUGUGGCCAGCCAGCCAUCAAAAGCUAUCCAGGCCCCGGGAGCCAAGUACUGCAAUGAACAUGCCGUACACGAGACUCGAGACGGAGACGAGAUUCCCCGCGUCGAAGCAGGAAUUCGCGGCUUUGCGUGGCUUUGCUCGAUGAGUUGCUACUGUAGUGCAAAAGCUGAACAGGGUUCCUCUGGCGGUUCUCCCCGGCCGUGCCGGCGUGCUCCAUGUGGGUUUCUCCGGUUUCUGAGUUUUGAUCCAAGGUUCCAUGGAAACUUUGGGUAGAGGCCGGUGGAAUUCCUUGGCUUUUACAGCACGGUGACCACCGUAGACAACCAGAUAGGAAACUUCUUGUGGAUAAGAUAACUGUGUAGUGAGAACGGAGUACAUGGUGAGAGACCGAGCUGAUUCGUACUCAUACGUCCAAUGUUUUGUUUCCUGA